UACGUGGGGGGCAAGCGUUGUUCGGAAUUACUGGGCGUAAAGGGCCCGUAGGCGGCCAACUAAGUCGGAUGUGAAAUCCCCAGGCUUAACCUGGGAACUGCAUCCGAUACUGGAUGGCUUGAAUCCGGGAGAGGGAUGCAGAAUUCCAGGUGUAGCGGUGAAAUGCGUAGAUAUCUGGAGGAAUACCGGUGGCGAAGGCGGCAUCCUGGACCGGCAUUGACGCUGAGGGAGCGAAAGCCAGGGGAGCAAACGGG
rnacentral:rRNA from 1 species